rnacentral:rRNA from 1 species
UACGUAAGUGCGAGCGUUAAUCGGAAUUACUGGGCGUAAAGCGUGCGCAGGCGGUUUGUUAAGACAGAUGUGAAAUCCCCGGGCUCAACCUGGGAACUGCAAUCCGAGACUGCAUUGCUAGAGAUGGGAGAGGGAAGCGGAAUUUUCUGGUGUAGCAGUGAAAUGCGUAGAUAUCAGAAGGAACAUCAGUGGCGAAGGCGGCUUCCUGGACCAAUACUGACGAUCAGGUGCGAAAGCGUGGGGGAGCAAACAGG